GAAACUGUGAAACGUAACAAGUACCCGCAAAACACCAGUCUCAACGUCAACAGUGAAGAGGCGACUCCGGAAUGCUGGCCUUCAAGGCAGAGUUGCAAAGAAAAAGCCAUAUCUCAGACAGGCCAAUAAAAAGAAAAGAUUAAGAUGGGCAAAAAAACACAGACAAUGGACAGAGGAAGAUUGAAAAAAAGUGUUAUGGACAGACAAAUCAGAGUUUGAGGUGUUCGGAUCAAGAACAUUGAGGUGUUCGGACAAAGAAGAACAUUCGUGAGACGCUGAACAUUUUUUAAGAUGCUGGAGGAGUGCUUGACGUCAUCUGUCAAGCAUGGUGGAGGCAAUGUGAUGAUCUGGGGGCGCUUUGGUGAUAGUAAAGUGGGAGAUUUGUACAGGGGAAAAGGGAUCUUGAAGAAGGAAGGCUAUCACUCCGUUUUGCAAUGCCAUGCCAUACCCAGUGGACGGCGCUUAAUUGGAACCAAUUUCCUUCUACAACAGGACAAUGACCCAAAGCACAGCUCCACACUAUGCAAGAACUAUUUAGGGAAGAAGCAUUCACCUGGUAUUCUGUCUAUAAUGGAGUAGCCAGCACUGUCACCAGAUCUCAACCCUAUUGAGCUGUUGUGGGAGCAGCUUGACCGUAUGGUACGUAAGAAGUGCCCAUCAAGCCAAUCCAACUUGUGGGAGGUGCUUCAGGAAGCAUGGGGUGAAAUCUCUUCAGAUUACAUCAACAAAUUAACAACUUGUCACGUCCUGACCAGUAAAAGGGGUUGUUUGUUAUUGUAGUGUGGUCAGGGUGUUCACGUUUAAAAAAAAUGAAAGUAUAAGUGUGGACACUUACCACGCUGCGUAUUGGUCCGAUAUUUCUUACUCCUCAGAAGACGAAGAUUAUGACACAACUAGAAUGCCAAAGGUCUGCAAGGCUGUAAUUGCUGCAAAUGGAGGAUUCUUUGACGAAAGCAGUUUGAAGGACACAAUUAUUAUUUCAAUUAAUUAUUAUUUCAUUAUAUAUAUAACCUUGUCAACGUCUUGACUAUAUUUGCUACUCAUUUUGCAACUCCUUUCAUGUAUGUUUUCAUGGAAAACAAGGACAUUUCUAACUGACCCCAAACUUUUGAAUGCUAGUGUAUAUAAAUAUUGCUUUUUAUUUAACUAGGCAAGUCAGUUAAGAACAAAUUCUUAUUUACAAUGACGGCCUUCACCGGCCAAACCCAGACGAUGCUGGACUAAUGGUGCACUGCCCUAUGGGACUCCCAAUCACAGCCGGCUGUGAUACAGCCUGGAUUCGAACCAGGGUGUCUAUAGUGACGCCUCUAGCACUGAGAUGCAGUGGCUUAGACCGCUGCGCCCCUCGGGAGCCCCAUAUCAUGUUAAAUAUAUUAAUAUGGAAACAUAUAAACUCAGCAAAAAAACAAACGUCCUCUCACUGUCAACUGUGUUUAUUUUCUGCAAACUUAACAUGUGUAAAUGUUUGUAUGAACAUAACAAGAUUCAACAACUGAGGCAUAAACUGAACAAGUUCCACAGACAUGUGACUAACAGAAAUUGAAUAAUGUGUCCCUGAUAAAAGGGGGGGUCAAAAUCAAAAGUAACAGUCAGUAUCUGGUGUGGCCACCAGCUGCAUUAAGUACUGCAGUGCAUCUCCUCCUCAUGGACUGCACCAGAUUUGUCAGUUCUUGCUGUGAGAUGUUACCUGACUCUUCCACCAAGGCACCUGCAAGUUCCCGGACAUUUCUGGUGAUGUCUGGUGAGGACCUGCCUUACAACAGGCCUACAAGCCCUCAGUCCAGCCUCUCUCAGCCUAUUGCGGACAGUCUGAACACUGAUGGAGGGAUUGUGCAUUCCUGGUGUAACUCGGGCAGUUGUUGUUGCCAUCCUGUACCUGUCCUGCAGGUGUGAUGUUCGGAUGCACCGAUCCUGUACAGGUGUUGUUACUCGUGGUCUGCCACUGCGAGGACGAUCAGCUGUCCAUCCUGUCUCCCUGUAGAGCUGUCUUUAGCAUCUCACAGUAUGGACAUUGCAAUUUAUUGCCCUGGCCACAUCAGCAGUCCUCAUGCCUCCUUGCAGCAUGCCUAAGGCACUUUCACGCAGAAGAGCAGGGACCAUGGGCAUCUUUCUUUUGGUGUUUUUCAGUGUCAGUAGAAAGGCCUCUUUUAGUGUCCUAAGUUUUCAUAACUGUGACCUUAAUUGCCUACCGUCUUUAAGCUGUUAGUGUCUUGUCUUAAUGAACGUUUCACAGGUGCAUGUUCAUUAAUUGUUUAUGGUUCAUUGAAACAGUGUUUAAACCUUUUACAAUGAAGAUCUGUGAAGUUCUUUGGAUUUUUACCAAUUAUCUUUGAAAGACAUGAUCCUGAAAAUGGGCCGUUUGUUUUUUUGCUGAGUUUACAUGGACCACUGGAACAACAGAAAGCAGACUCACAAUCAUUGCCACUAGUGAUUUUAAACCAAGCUAUAAAGAUGAGUAGGUUAUCAAAAUUAUACAAAGAUGGCCACGUUGGGUUUAUGCAACGAAGACGUAGGGAGUCCGGAAACAAGUGCAGUUGGUGAGUUUAAUAACAAGAAACAUGAAGAUAGACAAGAGAAGCGUACUGGACAUGAAAAUAAAACCAAAAACUGCCUGAAGACUGAGGCUACUGAGGGCUAAAUAAAGGGGAAGUAAUCAAGGUAAUGAUGAAGUCCAGGUGUGUAUAACUAUGGGGAGCAGGUGUGUGUAAUGAGGGUUACCAGGUGUGUAUAACUAUGGGGAGCAGGUGUGCGUAAUGAGGGUUACCAGGUGUGUAUAACGAUGGGGAGCAGGUGUGCGUAAUGAGGGUUACCAGGUGUGUAUAACUAUGGGGAGCAGGUGUGCGUAAUGAGGGUUACCAGGUGUGUAUAACGAUGGGGAGCAGGUGUGCGUAAUGAGGGUUACCAGGUGUGUAUAACGAUGGGGAGCAGGUGUGUAAAGCUAUGGGGAGCAGGUGUGCAUAAUGAUGGUUGCCAGGUGUGUGUAAUGUGGAUUGUCAGGUGUGCGUAAUUAGAGUUGCCAGGUGUGUAAUGUGGGUUGCCAGGUGUAUGUAAUGAGGGUUGCCAGGUGUACGUAAUGAGGGUUGCCAGGUGUGCGUAAUGUGGGUUGCCAGGACCGGUGGUUAGUAGACCGACGACUUCGAGCACCAGAGCAGGAGAGAGGGAGUAGGAGUGACAGUUUAUCCUGUGCAUGUGUGAUUUGUUCUAGAAUAGGGAAAGCUGUGCAUCACAAUAAAUCCACACAAUGCAAGCUCCUUCUGUUGAAUUGUAUAUGUCCUUAAGAUUCAAUCAUGUAAUGAUCUAGGGAGAUUGUGUGGGUGUACUGUAAUAUAGUAUAUGUCCUUAAGAUUCAAUGCUGUAAGGGUCCAGGGAGAAUGUGUGGGUGUACUGUAAUGUAAUAUAGAACUGUAUCUAGACUACUGUACCAUUCCAUCUAAUUACAAUGGAUUCCUAAUGAAAUCUGAUGGUACGCCAUAACCCAUGACCAUGGCGAAUGAAGAUUUAACAUACACACAAACAUACACACACACAAUGAAGACGUAACAUACCGAUGUUUCAUACACACACACAACGAAGAUGUAACAUAUAGUAGUUUCAUACACACAUACACACAUACACACACACAAUGAAGAUUUAAUAUACCGUUGUUUCAUACACACAUACAUCUGCACAAAUACAAGUGCAUGCAGGCACACACACA
rnacentral:lncRNA from 1 species